UUUGCGGAGAGUUUGAUCCUGGCUCAGGACGAACGCUGGCGGCGUGGAUAAGGCAUGCAAGUCGAACGGGAUGGGGAUUCAAGCAAUUGUGUCCCUUGAGAGUGGCGAACGGGUGAGUAACACGUGGGUAACAUACCUCCGGGUGGGGGAUAACUCAGGGAAACCUGGGCUAAUACCGCAUACGGUCAGACUGCCCAUGGCAGAUUGAUCAAAGGUGGGGACCUUCGGGCCUGCCGCCUGGAGAUUGGCCCGCGUCCCAUUAGCUUGUUGGCGGGGUAAAGGCCCACCAAGGCGACGAUGGGUAGCCGGCCUGAGAGGGUGUCCGGCCACACUGGGAUUGAGAUACGGCCCAGACUCCUUCGGGAGGCAGCAGUCGAGAAUCUUCCCCAAUGGGCGAAAGCCUGAGGGAGCGACGCCGCGUGAGGGAUGAAGGCCCUUUGGGUUGUAAACCUCUGUUAGGGGGAAAGAAAAGCAGUGGAAGCAAUAUGUCCAUUGCCUGACGUUACCCCCAGAGAAAGCUCCGGCCAACUCCGUGCCAGCAGCCGCGGUAAUACGGGGGGAGCAAGCGUUGUCCGGAAUCAUUGGGCGUAAAGGGCGUGUAGGCGGCUUGGCAAGUCGAAUGUGAAAUCCCACGGCUCAACCGUGGAACUGCGUUCGAAACUGCCUUGCUUGAGUGCGGGAGAGGUGUGCGGAAUUCCUGGUGUAGCGGUGGAAUGCGUAGAUAUCAGGAAGAACACCGGUGGCGAAGGCGGCACACUGGCCCAGCACUGACGCUGAGGCGCGAAAGCGUGGGGAGCGAACGGGAUUAGAUACCCCGGUAGUCCACGCUGUAAACUUUGGGCACUAGGUAUUGGAGGUCUCAACCCCUUCAGUGCCGUAGCUAACGCGUUAAGUGCCCCGCCUGGGGAGUACGGUCGCAAGGCUGAAACUCAAAGGAAUUGACGGGGGCCCGCACAAGCGGUGGAGCAUGUGGUUUAAUUCGAUGCAACGCGAAGAACCUUACCGGGGUUUGACAUGGGAGCCUCGCCGCAAGGCGAGGUCAGCCCUAUGAAAGUAGGGUGUGUCCACACAGGUGCUGCAUGGCUGUCGUCAGCUCGUGUCGUGAGAUGUUGGGUUAAGUCCCGCAACGAGCGCAACCCUCGCCGAUAGUUACCAACGGGUCAUGCCGGGGACUCUAUCGGGACUGCCGGUGAUAAACCGGAGGAAGGUGGGGAUGAUGUCAAGUCAUCAUGGCCCUUACAUCCCGGGCUACACACGUGCUACAAUGGUCGGUACAGCGGGUUGCAAUACCGCGAGGUGGAGCAAAUCCUCAAAGCCGGCCUCAGUACGGAUUGGAGUCUGCAACUCGACUCCAUGAAGCCGGAAUCGCUAGUAAUCGCGGAUCAGAAUGCCGCGGUGAAUACGUUCCCGGGCCUUGUACACACCGCCCGUCAAGCCAUGGGAAUCGGCAGCACUCGAAGUCGCUGGCCUAACCGCAAGGGGGGAGGCGCCGAAAGUGAAGCCGAUGACUGGGGCUAAGUCGUAACAAGGUAGCCGUACCGGAAGGUGUGGCUGGAUCACCUCCUUU
rfam:Candidate division Hyd24-12 bacterium Vib_1 contig65, whole genome shotgun sequence.